rnacentral:rRNA from 1 species
UAUACAGUCUAGCCUGCCCAGUGAAUAACUUAGAUGGCCGCGGUAUCCUGACCGUGCAAAGGUAGCAUAAUAAUUAGUUUUUUAAUUGAAAGCUUGCAUGAAUGGCUGGACAAAGAAAAAUCUGUUUCUACUUUUUUUUUAAAAUUUUACUUUUAGGUGAAAAGGCCUAAAUAAACUUAAUAGACGAUAAGACCCUAUAAAUCUUUAUAUGAUCUUUUCUUAUGAGUAAUUAUUUGAGUUUAUUUUUUAUAAAAAAAAGAUAUAUUUUGUUGGGGCGACAAGAAUACUAAAACUGUUCUAAUUUUCAAACAAAAAUUUUUGUCUAUAGUAGAUCCUUCACUGAAGAUUAAAAAUUUAAGUUACUUUAGGGAUAACAGCGUAAUUUUUUUUGAGAGUUCAUAUCGACAAAAAAGUUUGCGACCUCGAUGUUGAAUUAAAGUUUCUUUAUAAUGCAGCACUUAUAAAAGUAAGUCUGUUCGACUUUUAAAACUUU